rnacentral:lncRNA from 1 species
GAACUAAACUGCUACCUAUAAUUCAACAAUUUACAUCCUUCCUGUUGAUAAACAUAUUCAUUUAAAGCUCUACACACAUCUACUACUAAUUGAACACCAAGCAACUAGUGUUUAACUUUUUACUUCUAUACAAAUCUGAGGGAAGGAAUAGUCCUCAUAUAGUCCGGAUACAAAUCAAAAUGAUUCAAAUCAAUAGAAGUAGUCUAAAUUUAAUUACAGUGAACACUCUAUCAUACACUACAACAAACCACUUAAUAGAACAACAUUAUCAACAUAAUGGAACUACAACAGCUAUUCAACUUCAGUUUCAUUUCAUGAUUUCAACAGAUCGAUCUACAUCAGCACAGGCUCAGAAUAUGUACCUGGAUAAGAGAUUACAAUGACGAAAAGUGGGAGUCAGUUGAGGCAAGAAGAAACACAGCACCAAUUGAGUUCAAACAGCACAAAAUUAUGCCAAAUUUCGACCCAGAAAUAGAUAUAGAGUGCAGCAAUGUUUUGAAAUCAAAAUAGAACCAUUAGAUCAACUAAAAAUCAGCUUGAAUAACCCAUAACCAAUCGAAACCCUCAGUGAAUCACUAAAGCAUCAGAACUCAAAUAUUGGACUAAAAAACUGGAAAUCAAUCACUAAAAAUUGAAAUCAACUUGAAUUCCCUGAUAGAACAGUUCUCUCUAUGUGUAUAUAUAUAUAUAUAUAUAUAUAUAUAUAUAUACACACAUAUAAUAGAGUGUUUUUGAAGGAUUUUCUACUGUUUUUGUUGGGUUUUUUUUUCUUGAAGAAGCUAAGACCUAAGGGAAUUUCAGAUCUGGAAGCUUGGAGAGUAUUUUUGGGGAGGAAUUUUAGGUUGCCAAACUUGUUGAUUAAGGCAUGGGAAUGCCCCUUUUAUAAGCAUCAAUCAGCCUUCACAGAUUUUCUUUCUUUUCAUUUCAAUCCCUUUUUGUUUUCAGUUUAUUCCUCUUAUUCAUGACUUGUUUCCCAAGUGAUUUAUUUU